AACUAGUUAAAUAAGCCCAACCCGUAACUCUUUAAGCUCACUUUUCUAAACCUAAAUUUCCAGCUCAAACAGUCGUAUCCUAUCUUCUUCCCCUAUUUGCUAUUCUAUGCAAAAUUCUAAUCUUUACACAGUCAUGGCAGUGCUUUGACCAUACCAUUUUUGUAGAAAAAUUGAUCUUUACGCUCAGCAUGGAUCUAUAUUCACAAAAAGGUACGAAACGUCCAUCCUCAUUUUAAAGAUGUUUGUCCCUUUUCCAUCUCUUUCUGGACGGAUCUGACCAAAUCACGUGAAAUUCCACUAAAGAUACAACGUUCGAAUUUCAAACCUAUUAGCUUCAUCUCAAAUCCCGCCCUAAAAAUCCUAGGAUUUGCCUAUAUAUAUACAUCUCUAACUCUUCAGCCAAAAAUAAAAUAAAAUAACUUGAACUAUUAAAAACUCUCUCAUUUAAGCUAUUGUUACUUUUCUACUAGUUCUAAAAGAAAACUUUAGCAUUUUAUUAUCCUCAAUUGCUGUCCGUUUUGACUUUAUUCGAAGGAGAGUAGAUCUGAGACCACAAAGCCUCUGUUCACUAUACCCACAAGAGGAAAAACAAUGGCCCAAAAGCAAAAAGCAAAGAACAAAAGAAAAAUUGGCCAGAAAUGAAGAAUCGACGUUCCAUUGAUCAGCCGACGAACUGUCCUUUGAAGGGUCGAUAAGCUCGAUUUUCCAGUGAUGACAAAGUUGAAGACGACAAAGGACGGAAGCAUCGACGAAGCGUCGAACUGAUCGACGCUUCGUCGUUUGUGUUGUCAAGCAGGAUCUCUCAACAAGAGGAGAAAAAGACGGAAUACUCGACGGAGCGUCGAACUGGUCGACGGCACUGUCGAAUGGAACACAUGGCUGAAGGUACAAAGUACGGAGAAAUCGACGGAUCGUCGAACGAUCGACGGUCCAUCGAUCUUGCUAUCGGGGUCAAUUUUGUCAGUUGUUGCUGUGCGUUUUUAGAGCCUAUUUAAAGAACAUUUUAGGUUUUGUUUGACAGCCAGAUUUUAUUGUAACCACGUAAAAAGUUUCAUUGGUGGGUGAGCAUUGAAUACUCCCCUUUUGGAGCUUAGUGAAGACAACAAGAUUUCAUUUUCCAUCAUCUUUAUUACACUUUGUAAGCUUUAUGUGUCAUUUAUUUCUUAUUACUUUUGAGACCAUUAUGUGUGAGUAGUUCCUUUAAUCAAAGUUGUGGGUCCAAAUGAUGGGUGCUAUGUAAUGGGUAUCUAACAUUGUAUAUAUAUAUAUAUAUAUAUAAUGGGUUGUAAUGUGUUUUAUUA